GGACAACAGUUGGAAACGACUGCUAAUACCGAAUGAGCUGAAAAGUAAAAGAUUAAUUGCCUAAAGAUGAGCUCGCGUCCGAUUAGCUAGUUGGUGGGGUAAAAGCUUACCAAGGCGACGAUCGGUAGCUGGUCUGAGAGGAUGAUCAGCCACACUGGGACUGAGACACGGCCCAGACUCCUACGGGAGGCAGCAGUGGGGAAUUUUCCGCAAUGGGCGAAAGCCUGACGGAGCAACGCCGCGUGAGGGAGGAAGGCUUUUGGGUUGUAAACCUCUUUUCUCAAGGAAGAUAAUGACGGUACUUGAGGAAUCAGCAUCGGCUAACUCCGUGCCAGCAGCCGCGGUAAUACGGAGGAUGCAAGCGUUAUCCGGAAUAAUUGGGCGUAAAGCGUUCGUAGGUGGUUGUGCAAGUCUGCUGUUAAAGCGUGUAGCUUAACUACAUAUAGGCAGUGGAAACUGCACAACUAGAGUGCGUUCGGGGCAGAGGGAAUUCCUGGUGUAGCGGUGAAAUGCGUAGAGAUCAGGAAGAACACCGGUGGCGAAAGCGCUCUGCUAGGCCGCAACUGACACUGAGGGACGAAAGCUAGGGGAGCGAAUGGGAUUAGAUACCCCAGUAGUCCUAGCUGUAAACGAUGGAUACUAGGCGUUGCUUGUAUCGACCCGAGCAGUGCCGUAGCUAACGCGUUAAGUAUCCCGCCUGGGGAGUACGCACGCAAGUGUGAAACUCAAAGGAAUUGACGGGGGCCCGCACAAGCGGUGGAGUAUGUGGUCUAAUUCGAUGCAACGCGAAGAACCUUACCAAGGCUUGACAUGUCCGGAACCUUUGUGAAAGCAGAGGGUGCCUUCGGGAGCCAGAACACAGGUGGUGCAUGGCUGUCGUCAGCUCGUGUCGUGAGAUGUUGGGUUAAGUCCCGCAACGAGCGCAACCCUCGUCCUUAGUUGCCAGCAUUAAGUUGGAGACUCUAGGGAGACCGCCGGGGAAAACUCGGAGGAAGGUGAGGAUGACGUCAAGUCAGCAUGCCCCUUAUGUCUUGGGCUACACACGUACUACAAUGGCUGGGACAAAGGGAAGCGAAAUUGCGAAAUGGAGCGAAUCUCAUCAAACCCAGCCUCAGUUCAGAUUGCAGGCUGAAACUCGCCUUGCAUGAAGGAGGAAUCGCUAGUAAUCGCAGGUCAGCAUACUGCGGUGAAUCCGUUCCCGGGUCUUGUACACACCGCCCGUCACACCAUGGAAGUUGGUCACGCCCGGAAGUCGUUAUUCCACCCAUUUAUGGAGAAAGAUGCCGAAGGUGGGACUAGUGACUGGGGUGAAGUCGUAACAAGGUAGCCGUACCGGAAGGUGUGGCUGGAUCACCUCCUUAUAAGGGAGACUACGAAAAGUAGUCAAACAAGGAUUGGUUGAUGUAGAUGGUUAGAAAAAGAAGAAGAGGGGCAUGUGGGGGCUAUUAGCUCAGGUGGUUAGAGCGCACCCCUGAUAAGGGUGAGGUCCCUGGUUCAAGUCCAGGAUGGCCCAUAUCGAAGAGAGUAAAAUUGAUUCGAGACCAUAUGGGGGUAUAGCUCAGUUGGUAGAGCGCCUGCUUUGCAAGCAGGAUGUCAGCGGUUCAAGUCCGCUUACCUCCAGAAAAGAACAAUUCAGCAUUGUUAAGUAAGGCUUGAGAAAUAGAUUAAUUAAGUCAAAAUAACAAAUGCUGGACACUAAGUUCAGUAAAAUGAACCUUGAAAACUGCAUAGAUAUAAAUAUAGGGAAGACAUCAGAUAAUUAUCUUUAGACAGAUAAGAGUCAAAAUCAAACUU
rnacentral:rRNA from 1 species